UACAGAGGUCUCAAGCGUUGUUCGGAUUCAUUGGGCGUAAAGGGUGUGUAGGUGGCGCGCUAAGUCGGGUGUGAAAUUUCGGAGCUUAACUCCGAAACUGCAUUCGAUACUGGCGUGCUUGAGGACUGGAGAGGAGACUGGAAUUCAUGGUGUAGCAGUGAAAUGCGUAGAGAUCAUGAGGAAGACCAGUGGCGAAGGCGGCUACCUGGACCAGCACUGACACUGAGGCACGAAAGCGUGGGGAGCAAACAGG
rnacentral:rRNA from 1 species